rnacentral:lncRNA from 1 species
CCCUCUGAGUGUCUCCUCCUCUCAGUAUCUCUGGGGCCCUGUCCCCAUGUGGAUCUCUCUCAUCCUGGGAUGCUGAAGUGGAAAAGGACCUGGCUGCCACGGUGGAUGGGCCUCCAGCGCUUUCCAGGCUAACUCAGCGAGCCCAGUCUUCUUAGUCAACUGAGAGACAUGUCUACAGAACAGACCAUGUGGCCAACUCCUCCUCCUCCCCAUGCCCCAGGCAAGAGGACUCUGGGAAGACAUCCAGGAAGCAAGGAGUCUGUAGCCAGCUGCCUUCAGAAGCCCAAGGUCAUUGGCCCUGCCACUCUGGUUUGCCAACUCCUCAAGGACCACAUAGGCCCAACUGUUAUGGAAAGGGUGGACCAGAGAGAGGGGCUUCUUUUCCUUCGGCUUUGGGGAAGGCAAAGGCAAUUCCUGCCACUGCCCACUCCAGAGACGGCCGCAUCUUCCAGCUGCAUGGCAGAGCAGGGGUUAACAGGGAGAGGCUGCAAGGCUGGAGCUGCGAGGCUGGAGCAGGCGGUGGCUCCCGCCUCUUCACCACCCCCCUCAAGAGUUGCUGACUCUUCCUUUUUGUUCGGGCUGACAGCGAGCACCUGGUGUGCUCCUGCAACAAUAUUGUUCCUGCCUCCCUCCCCCCAGGCCCCAGGCUCCCUUCCCUCUCCCCCUCCCCGCCCGCCGGCAACCUUCCCCUCUGCCUCCUCUUUCCCUUGCCCCCUCCUGCCUGUGGCCUCCUAGGCACCCCCCUACCACAACCACCACAAGCACCGACGCUGCAGUGUCAAUAAACACAACAUAUGCUGCCAUUAAUGUGAAAA